rnacentral:lncRNA from 1 species
CCCCCACCACACAGCUCCACCCCCCCAGCGACCCCUACCCCCACCACACAGCCCGCCCCCGGGACACUCCUGCUGGCGGCGCGGCUCCUUUAAGAAGUAUCUGCGAGAGCAGCGCGGAAGCGGCCGGUGCCUGGGUGAGACCCGCAGGGCAGCGCAGCGCCCGGCAGGGGCAGGAGGCGGGGUGCGCCGCGCCGGCUCUGGGGCAGCGGAGCAGCCACUCCGAGGAACGGGCCGGAUCCCUGCAGGCUGGCGGCGGGGCAGUUGCUGCCGGGACUCCCUAGAUAGUUAGGGAGCCGCCGCCGGGGACACGGGACGCAACAGGGUAAGUCGCUCAGCUCAGCUCCGGGCAGGGCGGGCCAGGCACCGCCUCCCCCCGGGGCACGGCUCUGGUCCGGGGGGUGGGCAGGGAACUACACCCCCGCCCCCGCUAGGCACGCCUCUCCACCCCCGGGCACCGCUCUUUCCGGGUGUGGGCGCCGGGGAUCCCCUCCCCCCGGGCAGACUCUGCUCCUGGGGCGGGGGGCCGCGGGGCACGAGGUCGCUCUGCUCUGUCUCCCCGGCCGGCAGCCUGGGUCCCUCCCCGUGCAGCUGGGGAGAGUGCGCGGUACGGCCGCCUCCCCCCGGCUCGCCGAGCGGUGUCCCUGCCCCAGAGUCACUCGCAGCCGGGCUGCUGCGGGGCACUGAGCAGCGCUGCGCUGCGUGCCUUGGCCGUGCGCACGCCCCCCGCCGGGCUGGGAGCCGCCUGCCGCGCUCGCUCACUCGCUCGGGGAAGUUUCCCUUUGUUGGUAACUCUCCUUUCUCCUGGCGGUGCCGCGGGCGUAGGGCGGCGCGGAGCAGGUGGCUGUGCUGCGGGGCCUUCGCUGGAGACACCCGCCUGCAGCGAGGGUGCAGUGCCUACAGCUCAAAGCCCAUCCCGUUUUGAGAAGUGAACAUUUUGACGCCGUUCCACUUGUGAAGCCAUAUGGCCUAAUGAUUAGCAUGUGAGGUAAGCCCUGUAUAGAAAAACUGUGGAUUUGUAAAAUUUGACUUUCAUUUGUAACUGCUUUCCCUCUUUGAGAGGUUGCCCAGCUGCUUUGUGCAUGACUGAGUGUUUAAAAUGAGGCACUGUUUACCUCAACUCUGACAUGGACAUUCCACUACUAUUGCUGACAAUACAGGGUGAGGAUGAAAAUCAAUGGUAGCCUCUCUGGGAGGCAAAGGGAUUAGAGAGAUGAUAAAUAUUAGGGAAAAUGUAUACUGACCCCUCUUAGUGGAGAAAUGCUUUUCCACAUAGCAAUUUUAUUGAACAGAACAGCAAAACGAGGAAAAUGUUGGGAUAAAAGAUAUUUAAUAGCACAGGUGCUGUACCUA